GAAACAGAGCAGGAAAAAGUGGAGUCCUUGCUUUGUGUGCUGAGGCACCGGUGGGGGUUCAAUGCGGGCGUUAACAUCCACUAUAAGUGGUUGCAUCUGCACGUGAUACGCGAGAUGCUGUGUCAAGUGAACGAGCUGGAAAACUUUAAGAGAACAUGCUUCGGGCACAUGCUGGAUGUCGAAGCAGACAAGAGUUUAUUCUGCGUCAGUCUUGUGCACAUUCUAAUGCUGCGCAAAAUCAACAAACCUGAUACCACGGAGGCAGAGUUAUGGUUCGCAAUAGGGAAAACGAAUGCUCAUUUUUCUAAGAGGGAGUUUUGUCUGGUGACAGGACUGAAGUUUGGUCCCCUACCGACCUUCAUUGUCAAUCCCUACAAGGCCCUCCCUAGAGGAAUUCACCUAUGAUAUUGGGGACUUGGGAAGGAGGUGAAGAUCCAACAGGUUUUAGAUACCUUCAAGGGAGGGCAGUUUCAGCAAAAGGGAGACACAAGCAAGACGGCCCUCGUCUUGAUCGCGAUCAAUGUUUUAUUUGGUCAAGACUAUAGAUGAUCUGUGGUUCCAUGGUUGUUGUCGCUGGUCGAGAACAUGGACGAGUGGAAUGCAUUCCCAUGGGACAUAUACUUGUGGAGUCUGACCGUGGAUUACUUGUUGAGGGGUUUCGAAUCUCUUGCUGCAGGUGAAGCAGAUAAGAAGCGCUACCACCUUUAUGGAUUCAUAUGGGCGUUUCAGUUUUGGGCGUUGGAAGCAAUACCUGAAAUCAGAAGCUUGUUGAAAAGGAAGCAGCAGUCCAGACAGGUUUGGCCAAGAAUGCUUAAAUGGCAAUGUGACGAGAGGCCUACAAGUUUCCAUGCCAAUAUUGCAAGUUUGGAGAGAGACGGCAAGUUGUGGGCAGUGAGAACAUUGGAGCCAACGGCAGAGGAAAUGUUGACCGCAUAAUGGGCAAACAUUGAGGUCAAUAUCUUCGAGGGGUAGCAAUACAUUCCAUUAUGAAAGUUGGAGGGUCGCCCAGAAUUCGGUCCUCAGCAAAGGAGGAAAAUAAUGGACCGUAAAAGGAAAAGUCCAGUACGAUAAGCCGUUAAGCGGAGACGCACAGUAGAAGAGGAGGUCCAUUCCGAUUUUGGUGCUGCUAAGGCACCUCAUUCUCCUCUUGCAGCUGUUCAUGGUGCUUCUCCUGCUGCUCAUCAUGCUGCUACUCCUGCUCCUCCUCUUUCUACUUCUACUGUUGCCCCUCCUUCUGCUUCAAGUGUUGCCCUUUAUGCUGAGCCGCGCAAAUGGGCACUACGUCUUCAAAUGACUACUAGCAUUAAGCAAGAGCUGCAAAAUAUGAGGACACAGUGGAAGAAAGACCUCCAAUCAUUACAGAUGAAUAUGCAGAUACAGAUGCAGUCAAUGCAAUUCGAGAUCCAGCAAUCAAUACAGUUAGAGAUCCAGCAAGCGAGGCAAAUGCAGUUAAUGCAGUUGGAGAUCCAGCAGUCAAUGUAGUUGGAGAUCCAGCGGGCGAUGCAGAUGCAGACGCAGUCACUGCAUGAGCAUAUCCAGCACUCACUGCAAGGGCUGGAGAAUCGAAUUAUCGAUCGAUUGAUCGAUCAUUUUGAGGGUCGAAUCUCACCUCCUCGUAGCUCGAUUAAACAUCAUCCUGAUCUUAUCCCAUCUCCGGUAGAGGUAGCCCAGCAUUCUCAGCCCACACUUAGGCUCCACUUCCUCCGUCUGAGCUCGAAGAGGGACCUCAUCCUCUGAGUAGUGGAACUACAACUUUCGCACGUCCUGCUCUUGUCCCAACUCCAGCAGAGGCCUCUCUGCAUGGUGAGAUCACACCUUUUGCUAAGGCUCCACCUCCACUUGAGCCCAAAGAUGCACGUGUGAUCUUGGCCAGCAAAUACCUUCGAAGCCCGUACGUUAACCCGCUAUUAGUUCAGCGCAAAGCGAAGGACUAUUUGAAGGACAUGUAUGAGUCCUUUCUGAAAAACGACCAAGACAAGUAAAAUGAAAACAAUAGACCAUAUUAGGGUUAACAGUUCUAGGGUAUUUAUUACAUACAUAGACCUUUUGACAUGGGUAUUAUUAUGUGGAAAUCGUGAGGAAUGACCUUGGUAGUAAGGUAACUUCACUAUAAUUUAAAUUUAACACUAUUUUAAAUAUGCAGGGUUAACAUUCUGGGCAUCAAAGGGCAGUAGGGCCCUGAUUUUUUUCGGCAAUUGGAGAUGCCGACAGAGUUGAUGGACACCCAACAGAUUGAUGCAUGCAUCAGUGUGUUGUGUAAGCGGGUGCAUGAGCACCAUCCACAACACUACGAGCAGAGAAUAUGCAUUGUUGACACCACAUUCUAUCUUAUUUUGCUCCAUCUGAACCAAGAAAUGCGGCCUUCCCCCAUCGAGAAGACAUUCAAGCUGAGUGAGGUGAUUUUGCCAGACGAUGUGUUUGCUUAUGCAAAGGGUGGGAGACCUCCGUGGGGUUUGCCAUGGCAUGAGGUUGACUCAAUUCUUGUACUGUGUUUUUUCGACGGCCAUUGGGUGGUAGUGCAUGUUAACUUGCUGAAAUGGACUAUGAUGUUAGUGGACUCAUCGUACAGUCGAAAAGAAGCACGUGAUACACAGAUGAGUCCACUAACAUUAUUAUUUCCCAUUAUAUGCCACCAGGCGGGGUACUUUGUCAGCUCAUGCCGUCAAAAGUGAGCUUUGACGCGGAUGAAAUAUAGGUUAAAUGAGAAGACCCCGAUACAGCAAGAUUCGCACAGUUGUGGGGAUUGGGUUAUAGCAUCGUUGCAGUGGUUGAUCGGCUCGGAGGAUCAGACGCUGAAGGCAAACGCCAUAGAAGGCAUUCAAACAAAGUUUGCCCUUGAGAUUUUUGCUAAUAGCUUAAGUUGUUAAAUUUUUUAAUUUGUUUAUUCUUUUUCAAUCUGUAAAUAAAA